AGGAGUCUCCGAGCUUCUCGGAGCGACCUACGGUUUUCAAAAAUUCUGUUUCGACGGGCGGCGGUGCACUUCUCUUGGGCAAGGCGGCGUUUGUGGCGUGGCAGUUUACGGCGGCGGCGCGGGGCAAUACUCAAGCGUCGAUCGUGCCUGCGGUGAGAAGCUCCCGUUUGGGGGCCUCUUUGAUAGUGUUUUAGGUUUCAUUCCUAAACCAGUUUGGAUGGUGCUGGGAUUGGCGGUGUUUCGAUCACCUUCGUCUGGGUGGUUGAGGAUCAGAGUGGGGCGAUCGUGUCGAGGUCUGCGUCACAGCGACUUCACAGGCGUUCUGCUAAGGGUGGCGGGUUUUUUCUUUAGAGAAGCACUCUGAUCGACGCUUGAGUCCGGGUCGAGGUCCAGGUAUGAAGGCGGUGGUGGAAGAUAGUGGACGGCCGCCGAAUUGGUGAUGGGUCGCUGCUCUUUCGAUGAUGUUCUAUAGGUCGAUCUGGGAGGGAGGGGAGGAUGAUGGGAUGAGCUCUGUUUCGGGCAGUCGAGGCGGGCCAAGUUUUGGCCCAAGCUUUGGUGGAGUGGCCGGAGUCGGCUGGUCUGCGUCUCCUAGUUUCUCGGCCGGAAAUCCUAUGUUCAGCUAGGGUUUUGGGUAGGGCCUGGAGCUAUGGGCCAUUCCAUUUCCUUUUCUUUCUGUCAGAUCGGGCCUGUGGUGGUUGCUGGGGGGUGGCAGAGCCUUUUUGUUUUUUUUGUUUUGUUUAAGACCAAUCGUUUUCGGAUCAAGACUGCUACGGGAGUUGGUAAUUAUCUGGAAUAAGAUUGG
rnacentral:lncRNA from 1 species